rnacentral:rRNA from 1 species
UGCAGUGUACCCGCGGCAAGACGGAAAGACCCCGUGAACCUUUACUAUAGCUUGACACUGAACAUUGAGCCUUGAUGUGUAGGAUAGGUGGGAGGCUUUGAAGCGUGGACGCCAGUCUGCGUGGAGCCGACCUUGAAAUACCACCCUUUAAUGUUUGAUGUUCUAACGUGGACCCGUAAUCCGGGUUGCGGACAGUGUCUGGUGGGUAGUUUGACUGGGGCGGUCUCCUCCUAAAGAGUAACGGAGGAGCACGAAGGUUGGCUAAUCCUGGUCGGACAUCAGGAGGUUAGUGCAAUGGCAUAAGCCAGCUUGACUGCGAGCGUGACGGCGCGAGCAGGUGCGAAAGCAGGUCAUAGUGAUCCGGUGGUUCUGAAUGGAAGGGCCAUCGCUCAACGGAUAAAAGGUACUCCGGGGAUAACAGGCUGAUACCGCCCAAGAGUUCAUAUCGACGGCGGUGUUUGGCACCUCGAUGUCGGCUCAUCACAUCCUGGGGCUGAAGUAGGUCCCAAGGGUAUGGCUGUUCGCCAUUUAAAGUGGUACGCGAGCUGGGUUUAGAACGUCGUGAGACAGUUCGGUCCCUAUCUGCCGUGGGCGCUGGAGAACUGAGGGGGGCUGCUCCUAGUACGAGAGGACCGGAGUGGACGCAUCACUGGUGUUCGGGUUGUCAUGCCAAUGGCACUGCCCGGUAGCUAAAUGCGGAAGAGAUAAGUGCUGAAAGCAUCUAAGCACGAAACUUGCCCCGAGAUGAGUUCUCCCUGAGACCUAGAGUCUCCUGAAGGAACGUUGAAGACGACGACGUUGAUAGGCCGGGUGUGUAAGCGCAGCGAUGCGUUGAGCUAACCGGUACUAAUGAACCGUGAGGCUUAACCUU